UACGUAGGCAGCGAGCGUUGUUCGGAGUUACUGGGCGUAAAGGGUGUGUAGGCGGCCAACUAAGUCGGACGUGAAAUCCCCAGGCUCAACCUGGGAACUGCGUCCGAUACUGGAUGGCUUGAAUCCGGGAGAGGGAUGCAGAAUUCCAGGUGUAGCGGUGAAAUGCGUAGAUAUCUGGAGGAAUACCGGUGGCGAAGGCGGCAUCCUGGACCGGCAUUGACGCUGAGGAGCGAAAGCCAGGGGAGCAAACGGG
rnacentral:rRNA from 1 species